rnacentral:lncRNA from 1 species
GUAAACAUUAUCCUUGUUUAUGGUCUUGCUAGCUCCCAGGUAGAGAGCCGAAACUGACUCAAAUAUUUGCAGUGUUUCUGUGAUUUGUCUAUAUUCACUUUCAAAAACAGCAGUGUGUUUCCAGCCUUCUCCAGAUGAUGACUGAGUGUCUAUUAUGCACAGAUGCAGUGCUGGAGGCGACAGUCAGAAGACACCAGAAGCUUCCAUGGCUUUCCAGGCUCUGUGUGCUCUAUAAGGUGACAACUGCCUUUCUUGCACUGGAAAGUGAGCCCCUUGAGACAACAGAUAAGGCAGAGGAAAGCGAAGUCCAGGGUGGAGAGAGAGGAGCCCGGACCACAACUCUACACUGCUGGGUCCAGCCAUGUCUGAAGACUUGCCCGUCACGUCACAUAACAACUGUUUUUUUCCAAGUGAAUUUUAGUUCAAUUUCUGCAACUGAAAAAGGCCUGAUAUAGCACUGCUUUAUG